rnacentral:rRNA from 1 species
UGCGGAGGGAUCAUUACCGAGUUUACAACUCCCAAACCCAAUGUGAACGUUACCAAACUGUUGCCUCGGCGGGAUCUCUGCCCCGGGUGCGUCGCAGCCCCGGACCAAGGCGCCCGCCGGAGGACCAACCAAAACUCUUAUUGUAUACCCCCUCGCGGGUUUUUUUAUAAUCUGAGCCUUCUCGGCGCCUCUCGUAGGCGUUUCGAAAAUGAAUCAAAACUUUCAACAACGGAUCUCUUGGUUCUGGCAUCGAUGAAGAACGCAGCGAAAUGCGAUAAGUAAUGUGAAUUGCAGAAUUCAGUGAAUCAUCGAAUCUUUGAACGCACAUUGCGCCCGCCAGUAUUCUGGCGGGCAUGCCUGUCCGAGCGUCAUUUCAACCCUCGAACCCCUCCGGGGGGUCGGCGUUGGGGAUCGGCCCUGCCUUGGCGGUGGCCGUCUCCGAAAUACAGUGGCGGUCUCGCCGCAGCCUCUCCUGCGCAGUAGUUUGCACACUCGCAUCGGGAGCGCGGCGCGUCCACAGCCGUUAAACACCCAACUUCUGAAAUGUUGACCUCGGAUCAGGUAGGAAUACCCGCUGAACUUAAGCAUAU